CCCUGCCGCGGCUCCACCACCAUCGCGGAGGUGCCGCUGCUCCCACAGACGCUCGCGAGCCGACCCCCGCGCUCCGGAGCCUCCUCUUCCUCCCACACGCCUAAGACGCUCGCCCCGCCGGCUUCGGCCCCCGCCUCCUCCUCUUCCCUCUCGCGCUCCCCACAUUGUCUUAUCCUCAUUUUCUCUCCCAGUUGAGGGAAAAAAAAAAAAUCACCGUCUUCCUCAGGGAGCCCCUGGCCUUCCGAGAAACACCACCAGACAUGGUCCUGGGCCCCCGCUGCUGAAGGCUCGUCCCGGCAGGAGCGGCCGUGGCAGGCGAGCCCCGGCCCCGGCGUCGCGUCCCCGCUGGCCGCCCCCCGGCCCCGCGCCUGCGGC
rnacentral:lncRNA from 1 species